AAAGAAAGACAUAUAUAUCUAUAACAAACCACUGUGCGUGGGUGUGAUUGCCAAUUUUGAUACUAAAUACCAAUUUGAAUUGCAUAGUAACAAACCAUCAAACUAUAUUCUACAUUAGCAAACCAUCAUACAAAGCAUAAUAUUGUAUGGUACAGACAAAAAGAGAAACUUCAAACACUUACAAAGAGGAGCUUCAAACACUUACAAUGUACAAAUACAGUAACUGGAAAACAGUUUCCAGUGCUGAGGACAGUAUGAAGGGAGUGAAUGAAAAUUGCAAUCGCACAUGCUAUAAGGGAA
rnacentral:lncRNA from 1 species